CCUACGGGAGGCAGCAGUGAGGAAUAUUGGUCAAUGGGCUUACGCCUGAACCAGCCAAGUCGCGUGAGGGAAGACUGCCCUAUGGGUUGUAAACCUCUUUUGUCAGGGAGCAAUUGGCGCUACGUGUAGCGUUAUCGAGAGUACCUGAAGAAAAAGCAUCGGCUAACUCCGUGCCAGCAGCCGCGGUAAUACGGAGGAUGCGAGCGUUAUCCGGAUUGAUUGGGUUUAAAGGGUGCGUAGGCGGAAUGCCAAGUCAGCGGUAAAAUCGCGGGGCUCAACCUCGCUCCGCCGUUGAAACUGGCGUUCUUGAGUGGGCGAGAGGUAUGCGGAAUGCGUGGUGUAGCGGUGAAAUGCAUAGAUAUCACGCAGAACUCCGAUUGCGAAGGCAGCAUACCGGCGCCCAACUGACGCUGAAGCACGAAAGCGUGGGUAUCGAACAGGAUUAGAGACCCGAGUAGUC
rnacentral:rRNA from 1 species